AAGUCGUAAACAAGGUCUCCGUUGGUGAACCAGCGGAGGGAUUCAUUACUGAGUACUACACUCUCUACCCUUUGUGAACUAUUAUACCUGUUGCUUCGGCGGCGCCGCAAGGGUGCCCGCCGGUCUCAUCAGAAUCUCUGUUUUCGAACCCGACGAUACUUCUGAGUGUUCUUAGCGAACUGUCCAAAACUUUUAACAACGGAUCUCUUGGCUCCAGCAUCGAUGAAGAACGCAGCGAAACGCGAUAUGUAAUGUGAAUUGCAGAAUUCAGUGAAUCAUCGAAUCUUUGAACGCACAUGGCGCCUUCCAGUAUCCUGGGAGGCAUGCCUGUCCGAGCGUCGUUUCAACCCUCGAGCCCCUGUGGCCCGGCGUUGGGGAUCUGCCACGGCAGGCCCCUAAAACCAGUGGCGGACCCGAAGGGCCCUCUCCUUUGCGCAGUAGCAUUCGCCUCGCAUCGGGAGUCCUCGGCGUCCUGCCUCUAAACCCCCACAAGCCCGCUUCGGCGGCACCAAGGUUGACCUCGGAUCAGGUAGGAAUACCCGCUGAACUUAA
rnacentral:rRNA from 1 species